AACGAACGCUGGCGGCAUGCCUAACACAUGCAAGUCGAACGAGACCUUCGGGUCUAGUGGCGAACGGGUGCGUAACGCGUGGUAACCUGCCCUUAGGUUCGGAAUAACUCCCCGAAAGGGGUGCUAAUACCGGAUAAUGUCUUCGGACCAAAGAUUUAUCGCCUUUGGAUGGGCCCGCGUUGGCUUAGCUAGUUGGUAGGGUAAAAGCCUACCAAGGCGACGAUCCAUAGCUGGUCUGAGAGGAUGAUCAGCCACACUGGGACUGAGACACGGCCCAGACUACUACGGGAGGCAGCAGUGGGGAAUAUUGGACAAUGGGCGGAAGCCUGAUCCAGCAAUGCCGCGUGAGUGAUGAAGGCCUUAGGGUUGUAAAGCUCUUUUACCCGGGAUGAUAAUGACAGUACCGGGAGAAUAAGCUCCGGCUAACUCCGUG
rnacentral:rRNA from 1 species